CGGCAGCCCGAGUGGUGAUCACUAUUAUUGGGUCUAAAGGGUCCGUAGCCGGUUUGAUCAGUCUUUUGGGAAAUCUGACAGCUUAACUGUUAGGCUUCCAAAGGAUACUGUCAGACUUGGGACCGGGAGAGGUAAGAGGUACUACAGGGGUAGGAGUGAAAUCUUGUAAUCCCUGUGGGACCACCAGUGGCGAAGGCGUCUUACCAGAACGGGUCCGACGGUGAGGGACGAAAGCUGGGGGCACGAACCGGAUUAGAGACCCGAGUAGUCC
rnacentral:rRNA from 1 species